rnacentral:tRNA from 1 species
GUCCCUGUUGCGCAAUGGUUAGCGCGUUUGACUUCUAAUCCAAAGGUCGUGGGUUCAAAUCCUACCUGGGAUU